rnacentral:rRNA from 1 species
ACUUUAAUUGAAGAGUUUGAUCAUGGCUCAGAUUGAACGCUGGCGGCAGGCCUAACACAUGC